rnacentral:rRNA from 1 species
CACGUAGGGUGCGAGCGUUGUCCGGAAUUAUUGGGCGUAAAGAGCUUGUAGGCGGUUUGUCGCGUCUGCUGUGAAAAUUUCGGGGCUCAACCCCGGACUUGCAGUGGGUACGGGCAGACUAGAGUGUGGUAGGGGAGACUGGAAUUCCUGGUGUAGCGGUGAAAUGCGCAGAUAUCAGGAGGAACACCAAUGGCGAAGGCAGCUCGCUGGGACGGUACUGACGCUGAGGCGCGAAAGCGUGGGGAGCAAACAGG